AAACCGUUCAGGGGUAAACCUAAGAAACCCAAAAGAACGAACGGGGAGAUUCAUCGUCAGCGACGCUGGCUUCGCGUCGGUGUGCGAUGCCCCGCGGGGCCCUCGCGGCUCGCGCGCGGGCACGCCGCCGUGCGCCGAUGUCCGGCGUUCGUAGUCGUGCACUUCUCCCCUAGUAGAACGUCGCGACCCGCUGGGUGUCGGUCUACGGCCCGGGUGCGGCGGCUGACGCGUCGCCGGUAAAACGGCACGCGUCAAACCCCCGGUCGCCCGGCCGGCUGCCCGGCGGUACGCGCAAGGUAUCAGGCCGCACGCUUCACAAACGAGACGAGUGCGUCGAGGCCGUCGCAAGCGCGCGCCACGGUACACGGAGGCAACGGACCUAGCGCCGUCACCGUGCCUGGCCCGCUGUUGGUCGUACGGUUAACCUUCGACAGGCCUGCCAACGUCCCAAUGGGAGUCUCGUGCUCCUGUGCGGGACCGAUACCGGUCGGCGACGCUACUGCUUUGGGUACUCUUAGGA
rnacentral:rRNA from 1 species